GUAAGGAUGGCUGAGCGGUCUAAGGCGCUGUGUUCAGGUCGCAGUCUCCUCUGGAGGCGUGGGUUUGAAUCCCACUUCUGACA
rnacentral:tRNA from 1 species